CCUACGGGAGGCAGCAGUGAGGAAUAUUGGUCAAUGGGCGCGAGCCUGAACCAGCCAAGUCGCGUGAGGGAUGACGGUCCUACGGAUUGUAAACCUCUUUUGUCGGGGAGUAAGCGUGCGUUCGUGUACGCACGUCGAGAGUACCCGGAGAAAACGCAUGGGCUAACCCCGUGCCAGAGGCCGCGGUAAUACGGAGGAUGCGAGCGUUAUCCGGUUUUAUUGGGUUAAAAGGGUGCGUGGGCGGGAUUCCAAGUCAGCGGUAAAAAUGCGGUGCUCAACGCCGUCGAGCCGUUGAAACUGGCGUUCUUGAGUGGGCGAGAAGUAUGCGGAAUGCGUGGUGUAGCGGUGAAAUGCAUAGAUAUCACGCAGAACUCCGAUUGCGAAGGCAGCAUACCGGCGCCCUACUGACGCUGAGGCACGAAAGCGUGGGUAUCGAACAGGAUUAGAUACCCUAGUAGUC
rnacentral:rRNA from 1 species